UAAGGAAUAUUGGUCGAUGGACGCAAGUCUGAACCAGCCAUGCCGCGUGAAGGAUUAAGGCCCUCUGGGUUGUAAACUUCUUUUAUAGGGGAAGAAAUGUGACGGUUCUCCGUCACUUGACGGUACCCUGGGAAUAAGCACCGGCUAACUCCGUGCCAGCAGCCGCGGUAAUACGGAGGGUGCAAGCGUUAUCCGGAUUCACUGGGGUUAAAGGGUGCUUAGGUGGGCAGAUAAGUCAGUGGUGAAAUCUUCCGGCUUAACCGGGAAACUGCCGUUGAUACUAUUUGUCGUGAAUAUUGCGGAGGUAAGCGGAAUAUGUCAUGUAGCGG
rnacentral:rRNA from 1 species